GCCCAGGUGGCGAAAUGGCAGACGCGCCAGCCUUAGGAGCUGGUACCCGCAAGGGUAUGGAGGUUCAAGUCCUCUCCUGGGCACCA
rnacentral:tRNA from 2 species